rnacentral:lncRNA from 1 species
UUAAUAUUUUUGGACAACAGGUGGCCACAGGUUAACAAAAACCAUGGAAGUGGAGUCACUGUGAGGGAAGGCUACUUAUACACAAAGGGGAAAAAAAAAUAAAGAAAUACAAAAUGCAUGAGGAAAUGGCACUAACUAAUGCGCCUUGGAGCGACAUAUGAGUCAAUGCUCCGAUGCAAAAGAAGAGGUUGACAGGGAGGUGGCUUGCUUCCGACAGGCCAGUGGCUACACGGAAUAUGAACUGGGCGUGCAGAAUUCCAUAGAGCAGUGAAGAGUGGGACCAUGUGACCGAAGACGUGGAAAAGCAAAACGAAAACAGUCUAAAGAGGCAAGGUCCUGGAACACGCAGAAGCAAUCCAGUCCUCACAACUGUCGACUUCCUUCUGUCCGUGCAGGCAAGCUCACUUUCUGUUCUGUUGCUCUGUGGUUUCCAAAUGCAUUGUUUCUUCCUACGGGGUACGGAGGAAGCAGGCCCCUGGACUCGCAAAGUAAGAGGAAGAACAAGUAUGCUUCUGAUAGACGGAGCUUUCCUAAAAUAAGUUUAAGUUGGAAUUCUCCUUUUUCUUUAGUGUUUUUGUUUGUCUUUGUUUUGUUAAGCAAUUCUCA